rnacentral:snoRNA from 1 species
UCCCUCCGGAUUUCAUAUCCCUCAGACCUAAAUAAUGAUCUGAGUAGCUUUAAAAAAAGAGGAGGAAAAGUAAAAUUGAAAUGACCUUGGAGUCUUUAGUGACAACCAAGUUCAUCUCAAACCAAA